AUGGCGUUGGGCAGGGGUACCCAAGGUGGUGUAGGUGGCCCAUGGCGAGGUGCAGUAGGACAGAGCUCGACGGAGCAAGGACCAAGGGGCGCCUGGCGGCAGGGCCCGCGAACAGAGGAGGUCGACAAGGUGUUGCACGACGAUGGCCUCAGGAGCGCCAUGGCACGGUGCAGGCAGGAGGGUGGCGCGCCUGCCCGUUCGUGCAUGAGGAAGGAGCACAAACAGAGGAGAGGAAAAAGCACCACGGCCACCAGAGUCUCAUCUAUUCAGUACAUGCUCAUGGGCGGGCGCUGCAUGCCCAAGCGCGGGUGCACGAAGCAGAGGAGUGGGACGACGUGCCUUGGGGAUGCAGUCAACGACAAUGUUGGCUCGGGUGGGCGCUCGUCAGCAGGCAGCGAAGCGAGCUGUUGCUGCUCGAUGAAGGCGCUGGCACGGCCGUACGUGAAGCUUCGCGAGGACGGCCGAGGUUGGGAGCCCAGCAGGACUAAGAGAGGAGGUCCGGUGGGGUGGUGGGGUCCCAAACCCGGGCGCGAUGGAGGUCGAGGAGGCAGGGGCGCGUCGGGGUGGCCUGAAGGUCGAGGUCGCCGGCGGGUUCGCGGGAUGUAG
rnacentral:rRNA from 1 species